GCAUGGGGUCUUGACUACAAAAUAGUUUACUUUGACAACCGUCUAUUUUGGAGCUCGCCCAGCUAUCGUGGUCAAGCAAAUAGUCCAUUCUACGGAGACAGUACUGUCUGAAAAUCUGAUCCGAUCAGAGAUGUGUUCCUCUCUGCCAGUAGCUCAGAACUCAAGUUCAUAUGAACAAAAGUAUCAUAAAAUAAAAUAUCAAUAAAAUUUUUAUUAUCGACUAGG
rnacentral:lncRNA from 1 species